rnacentral:lncRNA from 1 species
GGCUUUGAAGGCGGGGCAACAAAGCCUGUGGCCGAUGUGGCGCUCCUGGGCCCGCGCUUCAGUGGUUAUGACAGUGUUCGCUCUAAGGGGAGAAGGAAUGUGUGACCAUUUCCAACGGUUAACUUGCAUUCCCCAGAUAGUUUGGAUGAGUUACAACCUAAAUCUGCAAACUCAAUACAGCCAGACCCUGGGAAGUGACCCUCUCCAAGCCUCCUGUAACUUCACCAUAAUACCGGUUAAUGUGAUAAAAACACUGCAUGUAGCCAAUUUUUUUUUUUUUGAGAUGGCGUUAUUGGCUCUUGUUGCCCAGGCUAGAGUGCAGCGGCGUGAUCUUGGCUCACUGCAACCUCCACCUCGUGGGUUCAGGUAAUUCUCCUGCCUCAGCCUCCUGAGUGGCUGGGAUUACAGGCACACGCCACCAUGCCCAGCUAAUUUUUUUGUAUUUUUAGUAGAGUCGGGGUUUCACUAUAUGUUGGCCAGGCUGGUCUCGAACUCCUGACCUCAGGUGAUCCGCCUGCCUCAGCCUUCCAAAGUGCUGGGGUUACAGGUGUGAGCCACUGCGCCCAGCCAAAUAUUUUCUUAUUUAUUUAUUUAUUUUAGAGACAGGAUGCCAUUAUGUUGCCUAGUUUGGAAUGCAGUGUCUAUUUAGAGGCGUGAUCAUGGCAUACUAU